GCCUAACACAUGCAAGUCGAGCGGUAGCACAGAGAGCUUGCUCUCGGGUGACGAGCGGCGGACGGGUGAGUAAUGUCUGGGAAACUGCCUGAUGGAGGGGGAUAACUACUGGAAACGGUAGCUAAUACCGCAUAACGUCGCAAGACCAAAGUGGGGGACCUUCGGGCCUCAUGCCAUCAGAUGUGCCCAGAUGGGAUUAGCUAGUAGGUGGGGUAAUGGCUCACCUAGGCGACGAUCCCUAGCUGGUCUGAGAGGAUGACCAGCCACACUGGAACUGAGACACGGUCCAGACUCCUACGGGAGGCAGCAGUGGGGAAUAUUGCACAAUGGGCGCAAGCCUGAUGCAGCCAUGCCGCGUGUAUGAAGAAGGCCUUCGGGUUGUAAAGUACUUUCAGCGAGGAGGAAGGCGUUAAGGUUAAUAACCUUAGCGAUUGACGUUACUCGCAGAAGAAGCACCGGCUAACUCCGUGCCAGCAGCCGCGGUAAUACGGAGGGUGCAAGCGUUAAUCGGAAUUACUGGGCGUAAAGCGCACGCAGGCGGUCUGUCAAGUCGGAUGUGAAAUCCCCGGGCUCAACCUGGGAACUGCAUUCGAAACUGGCAGGCUAGAGUCUUGUAGAGGGGGGUAGAAUUCCAGGUGUAGCGGUGAAAUGCGUAGAGAUCUGGAGGAAUACCGGUGGCGAAGGCGGCCCCCUGGACAAAGACUGACGCUCAGGUGCGAAAGCGUGGGGAGCAAACAGGAUUAGAUACCCUGGUAGUCCACGCCGUAAACGAUGUCGACUUGGAGGUUGUGCCCUUGAGGCGUGGCUUCCGGAGCUAACGCGUUAAGUCGACCGCCUGGGGAGUACGGCCGCAAGGUUAAAACUCAAAUGAAUUGACGGGGGCCCGCACAAGCGGUGGAGCAUGUGGUUUAAUUCGAUGCAACGCGAAGAACCUUACCUACUCUUGACAUCCAGAGAACUUAGCAGAGAUGCUUUGGUGCCUUCGGGAACUCUGAGACAGGUGCUGCAUGGCUGUCGUCAGCUCGUGUUGUGAAAUGUUGGGUUAAGUCCCGCAACGAGCGCAACCCUUAUCCUUUGUUGCCAGCGGUUAGGCCGGGAACUCAAAGGAGACUGCCAGUGAUAAACUGGAGGAAGGUGGGGAUGACGUCAAGUCAUCAUGGCCCUUACGAGUAGGGCUACACACGUGCUACAAUGGCAUAUACAAAGAGAAGCGACCUCGCGAGAGCAAGCGGACCUCAUAAAGUAUGUCGUAGUCCGGAUUGGAGUCUGCAACUCGACUCCAUGAAGUCGGAAUCGCUAGUAAUCGUAGAUCAGAAUGCUACGGUGAAUACGUUCCCGGGCCUUGUACACACCGCCCGUCACACCAUGGGAGUGGGUUGCAAAAGAAGUAGGUAGCUUAACCUUCGGGAGGGCGCUUACCACUUUGUGAUUCAUGACUGGGGUGAAGUCGUAACAAGGUAACCGUAGGGGAACCUGCGGCUGGAUCACCUCCUUA
rnacentral:rRNA from 1 species